AUACUUACCUGGCAGUGGAGAUACCACAAUCAAGAAGGUGGUUUUCACAGGGCAAGGCUCUUCUCUUGCACUUGGGAUGUGCUCACUCCUGUGAUAUCCCAAAAUGUGGGAAACUUGACUGUAUAAUUCAUGGUAGUGUGAGACUAUGCUUAUAAGUUCCUCUUA
ensembl:snRNA U1 spliceosomal RNA